AUGAACGCUGGCGGCGUACUUAACACAUGCAAGUCGAACGAUGAAGCCCAGCUUGCUGGGUGGAUUAGUGGCGAACGGGUGAGCAACACGUGAGUAACCUGCCCUUAACUCUGGGAUAAGCCUGGGAAACUGGGUCUAAUACCGGAUAGGAGCGUCCACCGCAUGGUGGGUGUUGGAAAGAUUUAUCGGUUUUGGAUGGACUCGCGGCCUAUCAGCUUGUUGGUGAGGUAAUGGCUCACCAAGGCGACGACGGGUAGCCGGCCUGAGAGGGUGACCGGCCACACUGGGACUGAGACACGGCCCAGACUCCUACGGGAGGCAGCAGUGGGGAAUAUUGCACAAUGGGCGCAAGCCUGAUGCAGCGACGCCGCGUGAGGGAUGACGGCCUUCGGGUUGUAAACCUCUUUCAGUAGGGAAGAAGCGAAAGUGACGGUACCUGCAGAAGAAGCACCGGCUAACUACGUG
rnacentral:rRNA from 1 species